GCUUUGAACCAGGGCCUUGGAGAGGGAAUCUUUUACCGUGGUCGAAUCCUCCUGGCGCUGUCUGUCGAGAUUUACUCCUCACCACUGGCCGUCGCCACAGACUCCGGCUCGGCCCCGCUAGCGAUGGUGAAAGGAACCUUGAGCAGGUUGGGACUGAGGAAGAAGCGAGGCAGCAAGAAGGAAAAAAGGAAGGAAGGUGAGGACGGCAAUUGAUCCGACGCAAGUCAAAAUGAUGCCAUCUUUCUUGAACCCGAUAAGACUUUAUUCUCGUCACGUUCAAGCUUUUUUUCUUGCAAGAUUUCAAUUUAUUUCUCAGAAAAUACGGUUUUAUUUGGU